rnacentral:lncRNA from 1 species
UAAAAAAGAGGAAAAAGUGUUUUGUCAAAACGGCUGUCGUGGGGCAUCGUUGCCGCGUUUCGUCCAAAGACGGUCAGAAAGGGUUUCUGUUUACUCAUACCCCACAAACACACUCUCUCUCUCUCUCGACUGUUCUACUUCUUAGCAGCGAGGACCUUAGAAAUGCUCCGAAAACCUGUAAGUGCUUUUUUCUCUCUCUGCUUUUACAUUUGUACUUGGGCGCAAUAGCUUUAGCUCAACCUCAAAACAAAUUUCAAUGAUUGCUAUUACUUCAUAAUCUGAUUUGUCAAGGCAUGUGAUGUGGUGAAAAUUGUACUUCUUAUGGGUAGAGAUUUGGGCAAUUGUCUUUGAAGUCUUCAUUUUUUUUCCUUUAAACUGUGUCUUUGAAUGAAUCUUCAAAUUCUGAAAGUGCUCGAAUUUUUUAUUAUAAAUGUUAUAUUAAUUGUCUGAAAAUUUGUAUGCAAUACAAGAUGGGUUUUGUCAUGGUUCUUGAUGUUUUGCAUUUCCAAUGAUGUUAAAAUUGAAACAACUCAGUUUCAAUCAUCAGUGGAAGUGAAUUAGUUUACUUUUAAUCAUUGCUAUUGACCAAAUAAAUAUAGUAGAAACCAUUCGUAAUAAUAUCGUGUACUAUUUCGUUCAUGGUAGGAUCUCGUUAGGGGAUUUCAUUACCUCAUUGACCAUGCUAGAGGAACUUUUAUAUCCACAACUUCAGCCAACCAAACUAAGCUUAUUGUUGGAAACUAACAAAUAAGUAAAAGCCGAAAUCUUUAUAUUGCCCUGCCUGCACUUUAUGAAAGCCACCGUGGUUUUUUUUAUUCAUUAGGUCAUUUAAUUAUUGGAAAGUAAAUCCUAUUAUUUGAAGGAUUUUUUUAUUUUAAGAAAUACCUUGUGCAAACUGCAAACAGUCUGUACUGUUGAAAGCUCACCUCUAUUUACAGAGUUGAUAGAGAUGAUGUUUGUGCAGCUAGAAAUACAUUGUGUGAAGUAAAAUACAAAUCGAAGAUGAGAUGAAAACUCUAUGAAUUAAGAGUGCAUUUUGAGUCUCAAAGACAGACAUACAUUGUGUGAAGUAAAAUACCACGAAUAGUCUUUGGUCUUCUAGAGACCUCAUCAAUAUUCAAUAAUCCCAUUGAAGAGUUUGUGAGGUUGCCUCACCAAAGUAAUGUAUUAGUCGGCUCUUUUAAUAGAAGCUCUUCUAGAUUUUAAAAUAUGCCAUAUCACAUUUUGUUAUACUAAUCAAUGUUUUAGAAAGCCGAUAUCUUCCCAGUCUACGCAUGACCUCGUUCUGCUACAUUCAUGAGAUUCUACGGUUUAGGGAGUUUGCUGCGAUCCUGGUCUUGUUUAUCCAGUUAACUUGUAUCCAUGGGGACUUGACUAACAAAGGUUUCUGAACUCUGAUUAUUAAGUUGCAGAGAAAACAGUUUUUUUAGUAAAGGGGAUGAACAAAAGAAAAAGGACCUUUGUCCACCUGCUUCGCUUAGCUCUCUCAAGUAAAUUACCAUUGCUUGUGGGAGAGGCCAUUGCCUCAGGUUCCUCCACAAGAAGAGUUGAAGAUGGUGCAACAUCAGAUCCCGUUACCUUACUUCGAAUGGAAUUUUAGCCCAUGAAUUUUAAUUUUCUAGAGUUUAUGGCCUUUUUUCUUUACUAGAUUCCGCAUAUAUUUUCUUCUUUAUGCCCCCCUUUGAAGUUGAAUAUGUGUGUGAGUGGUGCAGGCAAUACUCUUCUGUCAAUUGUGGUCACUUCAUAUAGUUGAAUCAUUUAUUGUGAUAUCCUUUGGCCCAGUCUGGUUCCUUGGAUUCAUCUUGGCCCAGUCUGGUUUCUUGGAUUCAUCUUGGCUAUCUAACAUCCUGAAAUCAUUUUAUAAUAUCUUCCACGGUUUACCAAGGAUUUACCUGCAUCUUUUUCCAUGUACUUAUUUUAGCUGUGAAAGUAUUUGUUCAUUUAUUUAUUUUUCCGUCAGUUAAAAUAACUCUGACUUUGCAAGGGGCCAAAAAGGAGACAGUAAAGACAUUAUUGGAUGGGAGAAAAUUUGAAAAUCCUUUGAUUAGCCAAUUUGAUUUAUAAAAUGUAUUCCAUUUCACAAUUCUAGGUAAGAACUAAUUGUAAUGAAAUUUGACAAGAAAAUAUACAGGUAUAAGGCAAUUCAGGGAUGACGGAGAAUUAGUUUUUUCGUUUAAGGUUAUUAUUGAUUGUUAUAAAAUGCUCAAUAUUCAGUAGCACUUCAAAAUAGUCAUCCUGCUCUCCUUCCUUCCCUUUUUUUUUUUUUUUUUUCAAUUAGAAAGGAGUGCAUGAUGACUAUUUUGGAGUGCCAAUAACAGCUCCCAUAUUAAGUAUAAAUUUUCAUCUCAUGGAUAAAAAGACAUGAUGAUCAUUGAUCUGGUAGGUAGUGUGGGAUCACGAACAAUGAUUAUUUCAAUGAUACUAACUGAAAAAGUAAACUUAGCUACGAAUUCCACCCAACAGAUAAAGAUAUGGUGAUAAGUUAGGGAUCAUUGAACAGUCUGGCUAUAGAAUUAUAAACUUUUAUUACUGGAGUAUUUUCUGCUGGUUUGGUGCUUGAAGCUUCUUGUUCCUUUCAAUUAUUGAAGUAUGUAAUGAAAUAUCAUUUCCUUCCACAAUUCAUGCCAAUUUUCUGGUGGAAGUUUGAAUAUCAUUUGUCACUCCAGAAAAUUCAUAGGGUUGUACUGUACAUAUUCAUACCAUUUUAAGAGGGAGCCUGAGGUUGGUUUAGAAUGGACGUAAUGCCAUUAUGGCUAGGUGAAUAGAGAUCAAUUGACUAAUGACAAAGACAGUUCCAUUCUCAGUGCCCCAUUUGUGUAUUGAUGUUGUUUGUUGAAUAUCAUUUUGUCUUUCCAGAAAACAAGUUAACUAUUUUGAGAAAGAUUUUAUUUCUUAUAAUACCUGAUACUGAUGACACUCUCUUUGCGUAGAUUAUCUAAAUCUAGAUUGUUUAUGACACCUUAAAAUUGGAUCACAUAACUAAUAUAUGUGGCUUUUGCCUUCAUUAGGUGUUUGAUCAACAGGGAAAUUGAUUGAAUUGUCUGCAACAUAUGAUGAUAAGUAUUAAAAUCAUCAUCAUCAUAAUCACCAUGGUGAAUUAAGUGUGUAGGCAGUCUUGAUGACUUUAUAUUAUGACUAAUUAAGAUGUGAUUACUGAAAUGAUUUCCAUGAAUAUUGCUGACAUGGAAGUACCUUGUACAGCUAUACAAUUGAUAUGCGUUGUACCAAGUGAAAUGUUAAUGGGUUAUAUCCUUUUCUCAUUGGAUGAAAAUGAUGAUGGCAAUGAGAUGGUUCCCAUUGAAAAUGUUGGUGUGAAUGAACUGCUGUUGAUUCUACAGCAGCUAUAUUUACUGAUGAGGGUUCCAUCUUGUGAUAAUGCUAUCGACCUUAGUCAAGAAUGAUGUUGAUGUUGCCAUGUGAGCAUCUAGUACAAUUCUGGUGUUACUUGUGACAUUAUUUUUCAGUGGCAAUUAGACGAUUCCGUUGUCUAUGACAUGGGAACGUGAUGUGAUGAUCUUAUGUCCUUUUCCCCGUUGGUGGAUGGUAAAGUUUGGUGAUAGACAUCAGACCCAA